rnacentral:misc_RNA from 1 species
GAUGAAGAACGCAGCGAAAUGCGAUACUUGGUGUGAAUUGCAGAAUCCCGUGAACCAUCGAGUCUUUGAACGCAAGUUGCGCCCGAAGCCAUUAGGCCGAGGGCACGCCUGCCUGGGCGUCACACGUCGUUGCCCCCCCAUCUACUCCUUCGGGAUUGCGGGGGGCGGAUGAUGGCCUCCCGUGCGCCUCGUCGCGCGGUUGGCAUAAAUGCCAAGUCCUCGGCGACGCACGCCACGACAAUCGGUGGUUGCGAAACCUCGGUUGCCCGUCGUGUGCGGUCGUCGCGCAUCGAGGGCUCGAAAAAAUUGCCGGGCUCCGGCUCGGCUUUCAACGCGACCCCAGGUCAGGCGGGGUUACCCGCUGAAUUUAAGCAUAUCAAAGCGGAGGA